UGCACAUCAUGAGACCAGAGGAGACCGAGACAAGGGCUGGAUUUGGCUUUUCUAAGCAACAUGUGUUCCUGCGCAGGGCUGAAUGGUCGCUGAGACAGAGAUGGAAGCCAGGGCAUGGGAGCCCACCUGGCCCAGAUAGGUACAGAGAGCAGAGGCUCCUGUUCUGUCCUCGCCACCCAUGAGGGUGACACUGCUUGUAAAUGGUGGCUGUGCUCUCCCAGCAAGAAAAAAGCACAACUAAAUCCACACCACACACAGACGCAGACAGAAAGCCUUCAAGUGGCUCUGUUUUCUGCUCCCUGCCUCACCAGGUCCACAAGCAGAGAGGAGUGUCAGGCGCAUGGCCCCGCUGUCACGCUCCCCAGUGAACUGAGGGCUCAGCAGGAGCUGCCCACUGACACACAGGGGACACCCACUCUUCCCACCUUGGGAGCGGUUGCCAGACAGAGCCGCACUGGGUGCUGGUGUCAUCCAGGGACCCCACACACUUCCAUAAAUGUGAUCCUGCUUCCCUCUGGGCAGCUGCAUCAUCUCCUCCUGCAGGACCAUCUGGAAACUUGGCUCUCAGUUUGCUCUCCCUUCUCUCCUCUGCCUGCCCCAAGCCCCUCUUUCUAAAAAAGGGAUGCAAUGUUCAUGGGGUUAUUUCUUGAAAAUACUUGGCGGCCUCCACGCUUCUGUUUUCUUUGAGCCAGGUGGUCAGGAUGGUUUACGAAGAAUGCCUGGGCUCCCCCGCAGGUGCCAGCAGAUGGGGUAGCAAAUGGUCCUGUGCCUCCACCUGCUCUGGGAGGGAGUCUCCCGUCUCUAGGCCUGGCCCCUUCCUAACCCUCCACGUAUCCUGUUCUCCAGAGACUUCGGAACCCACUCCUGAGAACAGCGGAGCCAGGUGCUCAGAGGAAGACCAAAUGCUGCCAGGACACGGAUUGUCCAGGGAUUACAUUCCAGCAUCUUAUUAGAGAGGGGGUUUGCUACAUUGCCCAGACUGGUCUCAAACCCCUGGGUUCGGUUGUCCUGCCUCGGCCUCCCAAAGUGCUGCGAUUACAGGCAUGAGCCACCACACCCGAACACUUGGGGUGAUUUUAAGCCCCCAGCAAGGUGCACCAGCAGGACCAGGAGGUGGCCUGUGCACCCCCUAUCACUCCCAUCCAUGCAAACCUAGGCAAGUCCCUCUCUCUGAAUCUCAGCCACCACCACAUACAAUGCAAGUUGGAAAGAUGGGCAGGACUGGGGGUGGGGCAGGCAGAGGCCACCUCUGUCAGGCUGGGGUGGCAUUGGCUAGAGACUAUCUUCCCAUACCUGAGACAUGACCUCCAAGGACCUGCUGUCAGUCAUGGUGAUGGCUUGGAUUGGCAGGGAGCUUGCUCUCUUUCUCGGAGGGCUGGAGCAGCGUGGGGCCAAAGACAGUGGCAAGGUUGUGCAGGGACACCUCAUUGACUGCCUCCUUCUCUGCCACCCUGUAGAGGACUGAAGCAGAGGGUGCUGUUUCAACGCCACCACCAGGAGAGAGGCAGAGGGGCUGUGCUGUGCUAGAGUCCUCAGGGAGGGAGUGACCUCGACCCUGGCUGUGCUGCAAGCUGACUCCAGCCUUGGUACUUCUGGAUCUCAGUGGCCCAGGACAAGGGGCCAACUCUGGGCUGGUGGGGAGGUCUCCACCUUGAUGUGACUGGGAGGGAAGAGGGGGGUCCAAGUGCACUGCUGGCCAUGGCCAAAGCUCUGAGCUCUUUGUUAAGGCCACAGUGCAGAGGGAGGAGGGUGGCAAAGAGGAGAGGCAGGGGUGGGGGUGGCAGCGGUGCUAGUCCUUAGAAGCAGUGAGUUAUUGCAGAUGGGGGUCGGGGGAAAAGGUCCUUGGUGCUGGGGGUCUGGUGGGAGCAGAGGGGCACCCCACAGCCUGGAGACCUGGAGUCCUGGGCAGCCACAAGAGAGCUGGGCUACCUUUCCAGGUGGUCUAGAAGGAAAAGGAAGGUGAGCAGGUUGGCCUCCGGCAGGGACAACAGCAGGUUGAGCAUGCAGCUCUUCUUUGCAACUGGGUCUGAAAGAGCUGCAGGAGGCAGUGGGUUACUCCUCUGGGUUACAACAAGCCGGAGACCUCUCCCGAGGUGGUCACAUGGAGCGCCCGGGACACGAGUCCUUGCGCAGUUUAGGCUCAUCAUCAUCAUCACACCCACAGCUCUGGCCACCAGUGAGGACCCUGUGAGGGGCACCUGUGUGAGGUGUGAACCACCUGAUCACCUUUUCUCUACCUCGCAGGGGUCAGCAGCAGCAGGGUACCCGACCAUGCCAGAGGGGGCAUAGCUCGGUUUCCCACACCUCACUUUUCACAGCCUCCAAGGGCAGCAGUGCACGUGGAGGAGACGUCUCCCAUGAGGCCAAGGCCUCUAGUGCUCACCGAUGCCCUCUGCGAAGUUGGGGUAGAACUCGUCAGUGAAGAGGGGCCCGGGCAGCUCACGGAAGUAUAGCUUCAGCGUGCCUGCAAUGGCGUUCACGUCCAUCUCGCUCAUCAUCACCGACACGUCCUCGUUAUGUGGAAAGAGCACGGAAAUGCUGCGGCCUCCUUGAGGAUCCCGAUAAAUGAAGAAAAGACACAGAGAAGGAUGUGACAUGCCUGGGCCAUGGAGCGCUCUGAGGUCUCAUCGCGGACACCACUGCCCACACCUCCAUCCCGUCCUGCGCAGGCCGACACUCACUGACGUUGAAGGCUGCCUUCAGUGCCUGGAUGUCUGCGGCCACUCCGGACCCGCGGUAGAUGCCCACCUCCUCCAUGCCUCGGCGCUCGAUCUCCACACACUGGCGCGUGAUGUAGGGCACCUUGGACCUCUCUCUCUUGCGGGAGGAGGGAAUGUUCUCAGUGUCCCAACAGUCCUGCUUGGGCCAUAACACAGGAGACCUGCUCCCUAUCUGCACACCCGGAGGCGGGGUGAGGACGGUGACAAAGGUACCCAGGUCUGGGGCUGCACACAGGGCCUUCUGCAUGCCUGUCCUCCCUCUGCAAGCUCUGUCCUCAUUGCAUGUACUUUCUCAGGAACCUUUCAAGCGGCCAGAACCCCUGUGAAUCACACAUGAUCUUUGCGGGAAGGUCAGGAGGCCUGUCUAAGUCAAGUCAGCACAGGAAGGGCAUCUGACAGAUUCCAGGCCUGAGGUUAGCAGCCUGUGCCCCCAGCUGGGAGAUCAGACCCAGUAUUGGUCCUGCCACCUAUGUGCUGUGUGAGAGGAGAAUCCCUGACCCCUGCCCUAGGCCUAGGCCUUAACAAACAUCUGACGAAUGAAUGAAGGGUUGCCUCAGCACCAGUGCUCCAAGUCCUGUGAUGCUAAGUGCUUUUCUCCUCUGAGUCUUAGCAAUGGACAAUUCCAAUACCACCACACAGGACACUAGAGUAAGAAUACUUCAAAGUUAGUGCUGUGCUGAGGCCUUAACUUUAGUUCUGUUUUGCAACUGGAUUUAGGAGCACAUCAAAGCCACUUCUCAAGCCACCCUCAUUAGCAGGGCUUAUUUGGAGGAGCUGCUGAUGGAGUCCUCGCUGCUCAUGCCCAGAGCCCUCCCAGAGUGCUAUGCAAGUGGCUGCCAUGCAGUUGGGGGUGGGACAUGGUGUUUAGACACAGAUAGGAGUCCAGGGUAUGACUGAUGGAGGCCCCGGCCCACGUGACCAGCAAGGUCAGGGGCCCAGCCGGAUUCCAUCCUGGGGAAGCAAAUGAAUUCUCAGAGGAAGUGGUCUGUGUCUGCAUGAACUGCUCUCAAACCCACAAACAGGCUUCUCUUGCCAACUGACCCAUGACAAAGGGUUCAAGAUUGUUUGAAAUAAAAAAAAAGGGAGCAGGGAGGCAGUAGGUCCUGCAAAAGUAAAUUGUUUAUUUUACAAUAAGAAAGUGAUUACAUAUUUCAUUUUUUUUACAAUGGUCAAAAAUUAGAAGUGAUUGUGAAGAUGAUGUCUACCUGCCUUGCUGAUGAGUAGGAUGUGAUUUGGCUCUUUAGGAAACUGAAUUUGCAGAACUUAAGAAUAUUGAUUUAUAAAGGGCAUGGCCAUUGACCCAGUCCAUCUUAUGCAAACCUGGAUUCCAUAAAUAAUAUUUAAAAAUGAAAGUAUUGGGGUGGAGGUUGCAGUGAGCGGAGAUCGCGCCACUACACUGCAGCCUGGUCGACAGAGUGAGACUCUGUCUCAAAACGAAAAAAGAAAAAGAAGAAGCCAUUCCCAACGUUGCUCAUCAAAUUAUGACCAUAAAUUUCCAGGAUCAGACUAACGGCUAAAGAGACUGAUCCAUCAACACCAAGCAGAGAAUAAAGCAGAUUUCUUUUUUUUUUUUCUGUUUUGGAGAGCCUCUAGGAACUUGAAAAA